AAGUACCCGCAAACCCGUAGAAUGCCCUUUUCCCCAAAAAGGGGACAAGGAGCCGGCAUCAGGCACACUAUCAGUAGCCCAAAACGCCUUGCUCAGCCACACCCCCAAGGGAAUUCAGCAGUGAUAAAUAUUAAGCCAUAAGCGAAAGCUUGACUUAGCUAGGGUUAAGAGAGCCGGUAAAACUCGUGCCAGCCACCGCGGUUAUACGAGAGGCUCAAAUUGAUAUUCCACGGCGUAAAGCGUGAUUAGAGAACAAACUAUACUAAAGCUAAACACCUCCCAAGCUGUCAUACGCUACCGGAGCACACGAAACUCAAUAACGAAAGUGGCUUUAACUAACUCUUGAACUCACGACAGUUAAGACACAAACUGGGAUUAGAUACCCCACUAUGCUUAACCGUAAACAAUGGUGAAACUAUACAAAACCCACCCGCCAGGGGACUACGAGCACUAGCUUAAAACCCAAAGGACUUGGCGGUGCCUCACACCCGCCUAGAGGAGCCUGUUCUAUAACCGAUAAUCCCCGUUAAACCUCACCACUCCUUGCCAAUUCCGCCUAUAUACCGCCGUCGCCAGUUUACCUUCUGAGAGAAUAAAAGUAAGCUAAAAGGGCAUUGCCCCAUACGUCAGGUCGAGGUGUAGCGAAUGAAGUGGGAAGAAAUGGGCUACAUUUUCUAAUUUAGAAUACUACGGAAGGUAUAAUGAAAAUUAUACAGCUGAAGGCGGGUUUA
rnacentral:rRNA from 1 species